GACGAACGCUGGCGGCGUGCUUAACACAUGCAAGUCGAACGAAGUGGCGAACGGGUGAGUAAUACGUGGGUAACCUGCCCUCCUUUUUGGGAUAAGCCUUGGAAACGGGGUCUAAUACCGAAUAAAGGGGGUUGGGCUCGCGGCCUAUCAGCUUGUUGGUGGGGUGAUGGCCUACCACGGCGGUGCCGGGUUGCUGGCCUGAGAGGGUGACUGGCAAUGUUGGAACUGGGAUACGGCCCAGGCACCUACGGGAGGCAGCAGUGGGGGAGAUUGCACAAUGGGCGAGAGCCUGAGGCGGGGACGCCGCGUGGGGGAUGAAGGCGUUCAGGUUGUAAACCUCUUACGCUAGCAAACGGGUAGGUGGAGAAGAAGCGCCGGCUAACUACGUGCCAGCAGCCGCGGUAAUUC
rnacentral:rRNA from 1 species